rnacentral:rRNA from 1 species
ACGGGUGAGGAAUACAUCGAAUCUACUCUGUCGUGGGGGAUAACGUAGGGAAACUUACGCUAAUACCGCAUACGACCUACGGGUGAAAGCAGGGGAUCUUCGGACCUUGCGCGAUUGAAUGAGCCGAUGUCGGAUUAGCUAGUUGGCGGGGUAAAGGCCCACCAANGGCGACGAUCCGUAGCUGGUCUGAGAGGAUGAUCAGCCACACUGGAACUGAGACACGGUCCAGACUCCUACGGGAGGCAGCAGCG